AGGUGAGUAGCUCAACAGGCUAGAGCAGCGGUCUCCAAAACCGCAGGUUGCGGGUUCGAGUCCUGCCUCACCUG
rnacentral:tRNA from 1 species